rnacentral:misc_RNA from 1 species
CGUAUUUUAAAAUGAAUAAGAUGUACAUAUAUUAUGUAUAUUGAACUAGGCUGAAGUCUUGUUCCAGGAAUUCCAACAUCCAAAGUGCCCUGACCACCGGAAAGGCACGGUGGUUACAUUGGUGUGGGCACGACGAGCAUNCUGCCUUGAAACUGAUCCAAUCACGAAGCACAGACCUUAGAUCAAGCAGCUUGGCACUUAUACUCCUGCAACAAUUGGCAUGGACAGUGGUGACUGCCCUAAUAUCUUUGCUAUCCGUGCA